AUGCAGUUGACGUGUCCCAAAUAGGACGAAGUUACGCGCGUCUUGGAU
rnacentral:hammerhead_ribozyme from 1 species